CAUUUUAUGGACCGAGUAUUCUGGACGAAACUAUAAGCUGUUCACAGACGAACAGAAAAAAAAUGCGUUUGUAGUAAAACCGAUACAUUCUUCGGAUUCCGGUGUGACACUAAAAAAAAAGGCGAAAUUACACGGAGAGACCGAGAGAGACGGAUGUGUACACGUGUCGUCGUACCUUAUAUUAUUAUGGAAGCUAUAGGUCGUACGGAAAAUUCGAUUUCCACAGUAAAUCGGUCAUACGUGUUCAAUGUUCGACGAUAACAAGGUACACGCGUCUGCAGUAUUACCGAAAAUUGUUUCUCGUUUGGUAAUACCCCGUGGUGUAUUGUCAGGAAAUUGCUUCGGCAUAUGCAAAUACACGAGUGCGCCAUAAAAACGGUAUACGUUUACAAUAAUAAUUGUAUACGCGCAACAGGGGCGGCUCGAAACUCUUAAAUGAACACAAAGCUCUCAAAA